GAUGAACGCUGGCGGCGUGCCUAAUACAUGCAAGUCGAACGCGCAGCGAAAGGUGCUUGCACCUUCCAAGCGAGUGGCGAACGGGUGAGUAACACGUGGAUAACCUGCCUCAAGGCUGGGGAUAACAUUUGGAAACAGAUGCUAAUACCGAAUAAAACUUAGUAUCGCAUGAUACAAAGUUAAAAGGCGCUACGGCGACACCUAGAGAUGGAUCCGCGGUGCAUUAGUUAGUUGGUGGGGUAAAGGCUUACCAAGACGAUGAUGCAUAGCCGAGUUGAGAGACUGAUCGGCCACAUUGGGACUGAGACACGGCCCAAACUCCUACGGGAGGCUGCAGUAGGGAAUCUUCCACAAUGGGCGCAAGCCUGAUGGAGCAACGCCGCGUGUGUGAUGAAGGCUUUCGGGUCGUAAAGCACUGUUGUAUGGGAAGAAAUGCUAAAAUAGGGAAUGAUUUUAGUUUGACGGUACCAUACCAGAAAGGGACGGCUAAAUACGUGCCAGCCGCCGCGGUAA
rnacentral:rRNA from 1 species